CGGGACACGUGGUAUCCUGUCUGAAUAUGGGGGGACCAUCCUCCAAGGCUAAAUACUCCUGACUGACCGAUAGUGAACCAGUACCGUGAGGGAAAGGCGAAAAGAACCCCGGCGAGGGGAGUGAAAAAGAACCUGAAACCGUGUACGUACAAGCAGUGGGAGCACGCUUAGGCGUGUGACUGCGUACCUUUUGUAUAAUGGGUCAGCGACUUAUAUUCUGUAGCAAGGUUAACCGAAUAGGGGAGCCGAAGGGAAACCGAGUCUUAACUGGGCGUUAAGUUGCAGGGUAUAGACCCGAAACCCGGUGAUCUAGCCAUGGGCAGGUUGAAGGUUGGGUAACACUAACUGGAGGACCGAACCGACUAAUGUUGAAAAAUUAGCGGAUGACUUGUGGCUGGGGGUGAAAGGCCAAUCAAACCGGGAGAUAGCUGGUUCUCCCCGAAAGCUAUUUAGGUAGCGCCUCGUGAAUUCAUCUCCGGGGGUAGAGCACUGUUUCGGCAAGGGGGUCAUCCCGACUUACCAACCCGAUGCAAACUGCGAAUACCGGAGAAUGUUAUCACGGGAGACACACGGCGGGUGCUAACGUCCGUCGUGAAGAGGGAAACAACCCAGACCGCCAGCUAAGGUCCCAAAGUCAUGGUUAAGUGGGAAACGAUGUGGGAAGGCCCAGACAGCCAGGAUGUUGGCUUAGAAGCAGCCAUCAUUUAAAGAAAGCGUAAUAGCUCACUGGUCGAGUCGGCCUGCGCGGAAGAUGUAACGGGGCUAAACCAUGCACCGAAGCUGCGGCAGCGACGCUGAUGCGUUGUUGGGUAGGGGAGCGUUCUGUAAGCCUGUGAAGGUGUGCUGUGAGGCAUGCUGGAGGUAUCAGAAGUGCGAAUGCUGACAUAAGUAACGAUAAAGCGGGUGAAAAGCCCGCUCGCCGGAAGACCAAGGGUUCCUGUCCAACGUUAAUCGGGGCAGGGUGAGUCGACCCCUAAGGCGAGGCCGAAAGGCGUAGUCGAUGGGAAACAGGUUAAUAUUCCUGUACUUGGUGUUACUGCGAAGGGGGGACGGAGAAGGCUAUGUUGGCCGGGCGACGGUUGUCCCGGUUUAAGCGUGUAGGCUGGUUUUCCAGGCAAAUCCGGAAAAUCAAGGCUGAGGCGUGAUGACGAGGCACUACGGUGCUGAAGCAACAAAUGCCCUGCUUCCAGGAAAAGCCUCUAAGCAUCAGGUAACAUCAAAUCGUACCCCAAACCGACACAGGUGGUCAGGUAGAGAAUACCAAGGCGCUUGAGAGAACUCGGGUGAAGGAACUAGGCAAAAUGGUGCCGUAACUUCGGGAGAAGGCACGCUGAUAUGUAGGUGAAGCGACUUGCUCGUGGAGCUGAAAUCAGUCGAAGAUACCAGCUGGCUGCAACUGUUUAUUAAAAACACAGCACUGUGCAAACACGAAAGUGGACGUAUACGGUGUGACGCCUGCCCGGUGCCGGAAGGUUAAUUGAUGGGGUCAGCGCAAGCGAAGCUCUUGAUCGAAGCCCCGGUAAACGGCGGCCGUAACUAUAACGGUCCUAAGGUAGCGAAAUUCCUUGUCGGGUAAGUUCCGACCUGCACGAAUGGCGUAAUGAUGGCCAGGCUGUCUCCACCCGAGACUCAGUGAAAUUGAACUCGCUGUGAAGAUGCAGUGUACCCGCGGCAAGACGGAAAGACCCCGUGAACCUUUACUAUAGCUUGACACUGAACAUUGAGCCUUGAUGUGUAGGAUAGGUGGGAGGCUUUGAAGUGUGGACGCCAGUCUGCAUGGAGCCGGCCUUGAAAUACCACCCUUUAAUGUUUGAUGUUCUAACGUUGACCCGUGAUCCGGGUUGCGGACAGUGUCUGGUGGGUAGUUUGACUGGGGCGGUCUCCUCCUAAAGAGUAACGGAGGAGCACGAAGGUUGGCUAAUCCUGGUCGGACAUCAGGAGGUUAGUGCAAUGGCAUAAGCCAGCUUGACUGCGAGCGUGACGGCGCGAGCAGGUGCGAAAGCAGGUCAUAGUGAUCCGGUGGUUCUGAAUGGAAGGGCCAUCGCUCAACGGAUAAAAGGUACUCCGGGGAUAACAGGCUGAUACCGCCCAAGAGUUCAUAUCGACGGCGGUGUUUGGCACCUCGAUGUCGGCUCAUCACAUCCUGGGGCUGAAGUAGGUCCCAAGGGUAUGGCUGUUCGCCAUUUAAAGUGGUACGCGAGCUGGGUUUAGAACGUCGUGAGACAGUUCGGUCCCUAUCUG
rnacentral:rRNA from 1 species